rnacentral:rRNA from 1 species
AUUGAACGCUGGCGGCAUGCCUUACACAUGCAAGUCGAACGGUAACAGGUCUUCGGAUGCUGACGAGUGGCGAACGGGUGAGUAAUACAUCGGAACGUGCCUAGUAGUGGGGGAUAACUACCCGAAAGAGUGGCUAAUACCGCAUGAGCUCUACGGAUGAAAGCAGGGGCACGACAGACCUUGGUCUACUAACGCGGAAGAUGGCAGAGUAGGUAGUUGAUGGGAUAAAAGCUUACCAAGCCGACGAUCUGUAGCUGGUCUGAGAGGACGAUCAGCCACACUGGGACUGAGACACGGCCCAGACUCCUACGGGAGGCAGCAGUGGGGAAUUUUGGACAAUGGGCGAAAGCCUGAUCCAGCAAUGCCGCGUGCAGGAUGAAGGCCUUCGGGUUGUAAACUGCUUUUGUACGGAACGAAAAGCCCUGGGUUAAUAACCUGGGGUCAUGACGGUACCGUAAGAAUAAGCACCGGCUAACUACGUGCCAGCCGCCGCCGUAA